rnacentral:rRNA from 1 species
GGGUGCGAUCAUACCAGCACUAAUGCACCAUAUCCCAUCAGAACUGCGAAGUUAAGCAUGCUUGGGCGAGAGUAGUACUAGGAUGGGUGACCUCCUGGGAAGUCCUCGUGUUGCACCAU